AGUGAACGCUGGCGGUAGGCCUAACACAUGCAAGUCGAACGGCAGCACAGUAAGAGCUUGCUCUUACGGGUGGCGAGUGGCGGACGGGUGAGGAAUACAUCGGAAUCUACUUUUUCGUGGGGGAUAACGUAGGGAAACUUACGCUAAUACAGCAUACGACCUACGGGUGAAAGCAGGGGAUCUUCGGACCUUGCGCGAUUGGAUGCGCCGAUGUCGGAUUAGCUAGUUGGCGGGGUAAAGUCCCAGCAAUGCGACGAUACGUAGCUGGUCUGAGUGGGUGGUCAGCCCGGCUUGAACUGGUACACGGUCCAGACGCCUACGAGAGGCAGCAGUGAGGAAUAUUGGACGAAGGACGGAAGCCUAAUCCAGCCAUAGCGCGUGGGUGAAGAAGGCCCUCGGGGUGUAAAACCCUGUUGUCGGGGAAGAAAAGCAGCAGGUUAAGACCCCGCGGUUCUGACGGUGCCCUAAGAAUAAACACCGGCGAACUUCGUG
rnacentral:rRNA from 1 species